ACCGGCAGCUCAAGUGGUGGCCAUUUUUAUUGGGCCUAAAGCGUUCGUAGCCGGUUUGAUAAGUCUCUGGUGAAAUCCCGCAGCUUAACUGUGGGACUUGCUGGAGAUACUAUUAGACUUGAGGUCGGGAGAGGUUAGGGGUACUCCCAGGCUAUGGGUGAAAUCUUAUAAUCGUGGGAGUACUACCUGUGGCGAAGGCGCCUAACUGGAACGAACCUGAGGUUGAGUAACGAAAGCCAAGCGCGCGACCCG
rnacentral:rRNA from 1 species